UGGUAGCACCGGCGCCCUGGCCUGGGUCCUGCAGCUCAGGAGACUCCUGCCUAAUGGUGGUCAACACUAACUGCUCUGUGGACGCCAAGAGAGAGAGGCCGCGGCGAGAGAAGACAACACACACACACACACAAGACAACAAGAAGCAUCAACAGCUGAGAUGAGACUCAUGCCAGCAUAUGAUGGAUGUAAGCCCGAACAGCUGCUCAGAAAUCGCUUUGACCAAAACCCUCAUAGCUUGCCCAGGAGUGCCUCCUCCUGGCUACUUCAUGUAAAUGCCUUGUUUCAGCAGCUUACUGGGCCUCCCUGUUAUCUCCUAAAUGGUAUCUUAGGUAGCUUGGCAGCCAUGGCAACCAGUCAUUAUCUUCCCUAAACAGAUGUAUUGUUGACAGUUGGCUGAGCUCCAUGACUCACAUCAAGAAAGAACAUCAACACUAGUAGAAAAUGUGGCCUUACACUGAUAUUCAAAUGGAGCAGAAUGUUUUUAUUCAGCACUCACUACUGCACACAUGCUUUAUAUUUCUAAGGCUCCUCUUAAAUACAAACAGUUAAAACUAUAACUCUCUUUGCAAAUGUGUGUAAAUAAAUGUGACAGACUGGCAGCUACAGACGUCAUUGCCAGGCAUGUGGCAGCUCGCUAAUUGGAGCAAAGAAUCAAGCGGUCAGGCUUCAAGAGAUUACAGUAAAAGCACCGUGAGGAACCCAGGCGGAAACAUGCACACGUUGACUAGACUACCAUCCUGUGUUUAAAGUAUAAAAGCUUUAAAGCAACUUUUAGACCCCACAAAACCAAAACAAGCUGCAGGAUUAUAUCUGAAAAUCACAGUAAAUAAGGUAACAAAUUCAUCAUGAGACCACCUGAUAUUCAGUUUAAAACAUAUUUAUAUAUACAAAUAAUAAAUGGGUGGGUGGGAUCUAGAAAACAGGAACAAUGUCACUUUCUUAACUAUUUGACCUUCUGCUUGUAAAAAGUGGAAAUGCAUUUUUUUUUAACAACAAAUAAAUAUGUGGAACUUCUGGCCUGAAGACAGUAUGGCCCAGUUGGCGCUCACAAUUUACCCUGCUUUCUAUUUCUGGAAGCUGCAAGAGGCAUGCAGCCACACUCACACACAGAUACACACGCAACAGCAGAGCAGCCUGACAAUAUGUGCCGGUCAAUAUUAAAAGCCACUGGAUGAGGCGAACACGUGCUCUUCUUUUCCAGGACAAUCCAAUCCAGCGUCUACUUGCCAUGUGUGAAAUCAUCUGAUGCAGCAGGUUGUUUCAGCAUCCUCACCUUCUGGCCAGCUUGUUAACUGAUGAGGACAUUUUCCUGCUAAAAACUGAGACAGUGCAGGUUGUCGCAUGAACGGAGGUUCGCUGCGUCCUGUUGCAUGAGGCAGAUUCACGCGUGAGCAAAAGACUGAAACAUCCCUUUAUUCAACACAAGCGUAUGAAACACUAAAACUCAACACGCUGUGGCCUUAAGGUUGAGGUAAAGGUGAGAUAAGGAGCGCGCUUUAGAGGGUCACGUGGUAUUUAAGUCGGAGAGCUAAUAGGCUGUUCUUGGACCGAUCUGCAGGCGCUUGGGGUGAACAUUUGCCACCUUAUAUUUCUAAAAUUUCGCUUUCAAUCACAGUAAAAGCAGGUUAAUACAUUUUCUUUUUUUCUGAGAGUCAAUCGCGGACACUAUGAUGCAGCACAGAAGGCACACAAAUCUGUUACAGCAUAAUUAUAUAACACCAUAACAAGGCCAUAGGUCAUAUUUACACAAGGCAGUCAAUAUUUAUUGAUGAGGUCACACAUUUAACCCGUGGAAGAUAAAUACUAUUGAGGUCAUCAGAAAUUCCUUCACUUGGCUCCUCCAUAAUGAUGCCAGGCUAUUCUAAAUGAGACCUGAAGCAAGGCACCUGCAGUCUGCUUGCCCUUUGCAUUCCCAUCCGGUGCCAAGAAAUGAGCGAGGCUGGAGGAUAAACACCGGCAUGUCCCUCCGUGUGGAUGCCGCAGUCCCGAAUAAAACGGUUCCCCGUUAUUAUGCCAAGCACAUAUCAAAUACGCACGAUUUUCUACACAGGCCGCUGAAUGCAGAAAAAAGGACAGGCCCGUUAGUGGAUUCACUUCACAGUGAUGGGUGACAGCAGAGAGCGGCGGGCGGAACCCGGGUCGUGCAAAGAUUAAA